rnacentral:tRNA from 1 species
GCCUUCAUAGUGCAGUGCUCAGCCCGCUCGACGUGUAACCGAGAUUUCCGUGGUUCGAUUCCCGGCUAAGGCG